CAGCAUCACAAUGACAGGUGGUGGAUAAGGGCAGACAAAUCAGCCUAUGUCCGUUACUGAAAGGAUGCUGCAUUUACAUGCUGGGAUAUUGAGCACAAGUAGAUUUCUGGGAAGACACUGGGAAUAGAGUGAGGCCAUUUAUGAGCUGCCAGAGUCUGCUCGGCUCCAGGAAAGGUCAGGGAGUCGAUGUGCCCGAGAUCGGUCUCAAGCAACAGAGGAUGAGAGUCUGCAGACGAACGCCCUAGCCCCUUGUCCUUCAGGGAACAGAAGGAAGAGACAGCCACCUUCGUGUCUGAGUAAUGAGUCAUAGCGGGCGCCUGAUCUCUUCUCUCAAUGUUUACUAAGAGAAUGGAGUGAGAGCAGAGGAGAAAGGAAUUGCAGAGGAAAUGUUUGCUUCUCUGUUUUAAGCUCGUUGGAAAGGAUAAGUUAAGAAGGAAUAAGAAAGAUAUCCCCUUUUUUAGGUCAAAAUAGAACUGUUCUCUUUGCAGUAGUCAUAGUGCUCAGAACACCAAAGACACUUUCCUGGGUGACAGAGUCAUGAGACUGCUGAAAACAAUGUAUGGAUGAGCACAUAAUGCUGUGUUGGGCUCUUUUGAAUGUGUCUGUGUGUGUUCUUCCCCCAGCCAACAGUGAGCUUCAGGAGGGCAGGGAGUCUGCUCCAUCUUUGUGACUCCCCCAGCCCCAGUUGGGACCACUGUGCUCCAUAGCAGUAGCUCAGUGGAACUUGUUAAGUUGAACUGGGUUCAAUUUAUGACGUCAUCCCUGAAGAACAAGAGAAAGAUCCAACUAAAAGAAAUCGUCAUAUUAUCAACAGCCACCUUUUAAUGAACACUAACUAUAUGCCAGGCAUGAACCGAGAGAGUGGAGGCCCUGGGAUCCACACCAUCUGAGGGCUGGCUAAAGAAACUAGGACUGCAUUUGGCUCAAACAAGAGGAGACUCAAUGGGAUAGGGGCAUGACCCGC
rnacentral:lncRNA from 1 species